GGUUGCGAUCAUACCAGCACUAAUGCACCGGAUCCCAUCAGAACUCCGCAGUUAAGCUUGCUUGGGCGAGAGUAGUACUAGGAUGGGUGACCCCCUGCGAAGUCCUCGUGUUGCAACCCC
rnacentral:rRNA from 1 species